CAUUGGCUGCCCGCGCCGCCGCCCGCGCCCUGCGCCGCGCCGCGUCCUGACGCUGGGCUGGGCCGGCCCCGGCGAUGGUCGCUCCCCGCCGGCUCCGCCGCAGCCCCGGGAGGCGGCUGGGCUCCGCGCCCCGCUAGAGUUUGAUUGAGGAGCGGUGGCCGCAGCUCAUCCUCUGGCAGGAGCAGAAGAUGCAGGACUCUGCGUAGCAGGUUUCUGAGCAGCCGCUGGAUCCGGCCGUGCAGGAGGAUACCAUGAACUGAGCAAGGAGCAACACAGAACUCUCCUUUUUUUUUUUUUUUUUUUUUUUUAAAUUUUGGCUUUUUUUUUUGUUUGUUUGUUUUUCAUCCAAAAAAAAAAAAAAAAGCCCCUCCACGCUUUUUAAUGAAAGCGUUUUAAAACGGGGUUACUUUUUCCUCUCCCCUGAACCGAAGUCGUCCCGGCUGCGGUGAGGAUUUCCGGAGAAGAUGGGGAGAAAAAAGAUCCAGAUCCAGCGGAUCACGGACGAGCGCAAUCGGCAGGUGACCUUCACCAAGCGCAAGUUCGGCUUGAUGAAGAAAGCCUACGAGCUGAGUGUCCUGUGUGACUGCGAGAUCGCCCUGAUCAUCUUCAACCACUCCAACAAGCUGUUCCAGUACGCCAGCACCGACAUGGACAAGGUGCUGCUCAAGUACACCGAGUACAACGAGCCCCACGAGAGCCGGACCAACGCGGACAUCAUCGAGACGUUAAGAAAGAAAGGUUUUAACGGCUGUGACAGCCCGGAGCCCGACGGCGAUGACUCGAUAGACCAGAGCCCCUUGAUGGAGGAUAAAUACCGUAAAGGCAGCGAGGAUCUGGAUAUCCUGUUCAAGCGAUACGGUUCCGCAGUGCCCGCUCCGAACUUUGCCAUGCCCGUGACGGUGCCGGUGACCAACCAAAACACGCUGCAGUUCAGCAACCCGGGCAGCUCGCUGGUGACCCAGUCCCUGGUGACCUCCUCGCUGACAGACCCCCGGCUCCUCUCGCCGCAGCAGCCGGCGCUCCAGAGAAACACCGUGUCCCCGGGGCUGCCGCAGAGGCCGGCCAGCGCAGGGGCGAUGCUUGGGGGAGACCUGAACAACACGAACGGAGCCUGCCCGAGCCCCGUGGGAAACGGCUACGUGAGUGCCCGAGCCUCCCCAGGUCUCCUUCCCGUCUCCAACGGCAGCAGCUUGGGCAAGAUCAUCCCGGCCAAGUCCCCGCCACCGCCCUCCCACAGCACGCAGCUCGCCACCAACAGCCGCAAGCCAGAUUUACGCGUGAUCACCUCGCAGAGCGGGAAGGGGUUAAUGCACCAUUUGCAGAACACGCAGCGGUUAGGUGUCUCCCAAGCAACUCACUCUUUAACCACACCGGUUGUUUCUGUGGCUACUCCGAGUUUGCUGACGCAGGGGCUGCCUUUCUCUGCCAUGCCCACGGCGUACAACACAGAUUAUCAGCUGACGAGCGCUGAGUUGUCUUCGCUGCCAGCAUUCAGCUCACCUGGUGGGCUGUCCCUUGGCAACAUCUCUGCCUGGCAGCAGCAGCAGCAGCAGCAGCAGCAACAGCAGCAGCAGCAACAACAGCAGCAACAGCAGCAGCAGCAGCAACAGCAGCAGCAGCAGCAGCAGCAGCAGCAGCAGCAGCAGCACCUGGUUCCUGUAUCGCUAGGAAAUUUAAUACAAGGGAGUCACUUGUCCCACACCACCACUUUGACUGUCAACACCAACCCCAACAUCAGCAUCAAGUCGGAGCCCGUCUCGCCCAACCGGGAAAGAAACACUGCCACCCCGCUCAGCACCUUCCCCCACCAGCCCCGGCACGAGCCCACCGGCCGCUCGCCCGUCGACAGCCUCAGCAGCAACACCAGCUCCUACGAAGGCAGCAGCGAGCGGGACGAUCCCGCCCGCCCCGAUUUCGGCUCAUCCUUGGGCCUCCUGCGACCCACCAGCGAGCCCGAGGGGGAGAGCCCCUCCGUAAAGCGGAUGCGGUUGGAUACCUGGGUCACAUAACGGGUCCCCGCCGUCCCUGGGAGCGCCGCCGGCUCACAGCGGGGCCGCGGGGAGGGAGCGGGAGGGGUGGGAGGGGGGGGUCGAAACGGGUUAUGGGGCUGGGGUGGGGGGGGGAAAUUAUCAUAAACUGCCUGAGAAAUAGCUUUAGGAUUUUGUAGGCAUUCAUUCUAGCGCAGCAGGUGACGCACGCAGUACAUACGGCGCUCCUCGCCCGGGGGCUGCAGGCUCGGGACUGGCCGGGCGCGUGGGGAAAAGGUUGGGGGGGGGACGGAAAUCAAAUAGGUGCGUCCUCGCCGAAAAAAAAGCAGUCCCUGGCAACGCUCAGCCCCGCGAGCCGGCAACCGGGCGGCAGUCGGUGCCCGCUGACCGGCGAGACCCCGAGGACGUUGGUGUGUGUGUGUCCCCCCCCUCCGCCGGGAGGUGGGACCGUAUCCCUAGGGAAAAGCGCCUGCGGCAGGAUGGGCUCCCGGGGGAAACGGGGCACGGAGCAUCCCCAAAAGUGCCUGGGCUCUCUGAGGUCCACGCGCAGGGAGGGGCUGUUCGGCCACGAUCCAGCUCUCGGAAAGGUUGAAGGGAUUUGGCAAGUGCCGGUUUUCCUUAAAAAAAAAAAAAAAAGAGUUUUCUUAAACCUGGGUUGGGAAGGCAGGCUGGCAUCGGCCGAGGGUGGCGCAGAGAACCCGGCUUCAAUUUUAAACGGGAUGCAGCCGCAGCCGCAGCCCGCUCGUGCUGCCCGGAUCCCGUACAGGUGUGUCGGGGGAAUAAGAGGCAGAUUUUUAAGGCUUAAUCCUGUUUUCAGAAAAAAUAGACGCAGACAGCAUCCUUUCCGGCAGGUAAGGGAACUCCACUAUUUCUGGCCACGGUCAUUUUAAAAUUGACCUUUAAAAUUAACCUUUCCCAAACGCAGAGGGGAAAGUCGUUGCCUGCGCCUGGGCGCGGCGCGUUUGACGAGGAAGGAUGCGUUACUGCUGCUUUUAAAGAAAACGGCGGGUUUUACCAACCAAAAUUUGUAAAUGCGUUUUAAAAAUGCAUUCCCGUUCCACGUGGGCCAAAGCUUUAAAUUCGAAAAAUAGGAAUAAAAUGAUUUUUAUUGAAGGAUGCAACUGAAAUCAUUAUCCUUCGGGAUUUUGCCUGAAGGUUUCUAGGCCUCAAAGGGCGAGGGCGAGUUGGGCGGAAAAUCUGCCGAAGUCUCGAUGGAACGAUUUAGCGGAAGGAAAAAGGAGGAAAACCCAAGGAAUUUCCUGGUGUUGCCGCUUGCUCCGGCGGUUUCCCAGGGACGGGCAUCAGCGCCCUGACCCCAAAAUGCAGCAGCCAGCUCAGGGCACGAGGAUUUGGAGGAGAAAGGACCGUUCCUGGCGUAGGUUUUAGGGAUGGGCUUUCGUCCCUGCAGGCGCUCUUCUCCGGGAUGCCGGUCCCUCGUCCCCGUCCCAUCCUGCCGCCUUGUCACCGGGGACGGCCCCGGCCCCGCUCACCCCUGGGGUUUCGGUCACAAACCGGCACAAAACCUGCCCGGAUGCCGGCUCCUUUGGUGGCCGGAGCCUGGAUGGGCUCCGGGGGCUGCGGUGGAGCCAGGAGCUGCUUUGGGGACAGCGUCGUGUCCGUCCCCACCCCCCCGAACCGGUGCCAAGAGAGAGGAGCAAAAAGUCACGGUAGGAUUUACACCCCUCCUAGAGCCCUCCGCCAAGCAUCCAGCACCCAGCUCAGCCCGUUGUGUAAAGAUGUACUGGGGUGAUGGCAAAACAGAAGCAAAUUUAUGGGGUUUUUUUGUUAUUUUUUAAGAAACUUGCCCCAACCGAGCAUUUUUCCCAAAGUUUUUCAUUGGAAAAACAGUACAAAAAAGUCGAUUAUUGUUGGUAUGAAAUGAACAGGGGCAACUUCAAGCGAGCGGUUGGAGGAGGAGAAGAAAUCCUCCAAAAAAUUGGGUGAAAAUUAAUAGCUGUGAGAAACGAUGGCCAAAGAGGCAAAACGUGGGCCGCAUCCUGCCCGGUCUGGCACCGCGGCGCACGAGCCACUGGCUAAAGAUAACGUUGCAGUAGAGUCGCCCGGCACGUCCCUUCCGAGCUGACGUCUACCCUGACUCUUCCUCCUCUCCACGGCGAUGAAAUCGGUUCGGGGGCGGCGACCCGGCAGAGGGACCGGGGCGGCCGAUGCUCAGCCCCGGGGAUGACCUGCCGGAACCGGCGGUGAGCCGACGCGCCGUCAGUGCCGACUCACGCCGAGCCUUGUCUGGGUACCGGCAUCUCACCUUGCCCUAAAAUCCCUGCUCCAAAAGAUGGGCUGGCUACAAUUUCCCCGUGCAAAAAUCUUUGAAAUAUCAAAUUGCUGCCGCAGGAUGUUUUUCCAAACAGUGAUUUGGGGGUUUUUUGGGUUUUUUUUUUUUUACUGAUAAAUUUUUAAUUACCUCUCCUGUUCACAUGCUCCGGAGGGCCUCGGGCGGGCGAUGGCAGCCCGGCGGUGCCGGGGAGGGCUCCCGGCAGGUUUUGUGCGGUUAAAUCCCCCCCCCCACCACCACCCCCCCAUCUCCCCCUCCCCGGGCCGUACCCUGCGGGUACCGCGGUGUGCUGUGGAGAUGCUCGGAUCUCGCCUCCCAAAACGCCGGCGCAGAAUCAGCGGCAAAAGCGGAUCUUCCUCCCUCCGCCUCCGUCUGUCCAUCCGGGAAAGCGGGAGAGAAGCUGCGGACCAUGAUCCUCCUCGCCCACGCCGACCUCCCCGAUCCGGCAAAGCUGGGCGUACCGGACACGCACCUGAGCUCUUUGCACGGCCUUGCUUUGGAAAUUAGGUGGGAUUAACGACGUCUCAUUGGUCUCAUUUUAUAUAUAUAUAUAUAUAUUUUAUUUUUUUUUUUUUUCUUCACGAAAAGAAAAUAAACCCAACCAAACGGUUUCUCCCCUGAUGGGGAGCGGCGCAGCAGGAGGUGCCGGCAGAGCGGCUUGCUCCGGAGACCCCGGCGGGGAGGAGGCGGCGAAGACCCCCCCACACCCCCCCCAGUACUCGACGCCAUCCGCGCCGCCGGAGCAUCGGUGCAGAACAACCCCGAGGCGGGGGGGGACAAAAAAACAAACCGAAAGCCAACCAAAAAAACAUUUUUGCUCAUUAACUUCAUGCCCUGACUCCCAAGUUCACACUUCUACCUUGAGAGCCUGGAAAAAUAACAAAAAAAAAAAAACCCCACAAAAACCAAGACAUAGAAACGCUCUGGGUUACGUAGAGAUGCGGGUUUAGAUCUACCCGGAGGGGAAAGCGCGAGCACGUGCCGUGCCGUGCCGGAGCGGAUCUGCAGCAGCGCGGCGGCGGGACUCGACGAUCCCCUGGGCUGGUGCCACGGGCAAGUACGGCUCGUGGGAAGAGCGGGGAUGCCCCGGGUCGGAUCCGGCGUUAGCUUCACCGUCGUGGUGAAACGAUUUUGGGGGUCGGUUCGUCGGGGGUCUUUAUUUUGUUGAGGGCUUGGGAUUAUUUUAUUAUUUCUAAUUUUUAUUUUUUUUUGGUCCGGGUCAUUAUUCUUUAUUUCCUCCCCCCCCAGACUGUAGUAUCCAGUAAACUCCUCCUAAUUUUCAAAAGACAACGAGAAGAAUGACAAUCUAAGAAACCAACACCCUCCUUUGUGCUUCUAUAAAUAUGUUUCUGAUCUAAUUUUAUUUCUCGUGCUCAUCUGUACUGUUGACAGUUACAAUUGUGUAUAAUUUUUUUUUUUUAUUUGGAAUUUUCGCGUUGUAUAGGGUUUAGUUUUAAAAUAUAUAUUUUCCAUUUUUUAAAAAGGGGUGUUGCAAAAAAAAUUGCACGAUUUAAAUGACAAUAGUUAAAAUGCUGCAGUUUUUAGAGAUGUGGAAGCAAAAUGGAGCUUAUUUAUUCUCAAAGGCUAUAAAGGUGUAAAAUGCAUGAAGAAAAAAAAAAAAACAUUUACAAAAAAAAAAAAAGACAAAAAAAGUGUAACCUGAACAAAGUGUAGCGUUAAAAAUUUUAAAGGAUGACAACGACAAGGAAAAAAAAAAAAAACAAACAAAAAAAAAACAGCUAAUAUAUUGUGUUUGGGCUAGUUUGCUUUUGUUUUUAAUUGUUCCUUUUUUGGAGAAUGAAAUACAAUUGUGUAUAUUUUCAUAUAAGAAGUAUGCACUGAGAUGUUUCAAAAAUGAUAUAUUACUUUCUAAAAGUGUGGUUACUUACCAAAGUCUGUUUCUGAUCUUUACCUUCUCGAAAUCCCUCUGGAUCCCUCGAGCACGCGCACGCCGGGGCUCGACGCCGCGGGCCGGAGCCAGAGGACAGCCCCACGGCUCCGGGUCCGGUCGCUGCUUCACCCCCAGCUUGCCCCAGCCCCGGCGGCUCCGCCCACGGGGGAGCAGCCGCUCGCGUGGGGAGAGCGGCCCAGGGAGGAGCGCGGGUUCACCCUACGUGAUGCUCCGCUCAUUUUCUGGCUGGCGAAUCGUGGGUCUCUGGCCCCAGUGAAAGUUCACAGGGAAUUGCCUGAUCGGCUCACUACAACGCGAACCCAGGAGUGGGGGCUAUAUGGAACAAAACCCCACCCUCCAAAAGCCGCGCGGGAGCUGUCAGCAGGACCUGUCUAGCAGGACCCUCAGCAGAAGCCCCUCACCACGGCUGAUCCCAUCUGCACCCUCCUGCUCCUCCUCCUCCCCCAGCCAGCAGACCCUGGCCUGGAGCACGACAUAGAUCGUGAUUUGCACCAGGAUCCAUACAGGCUGCUUGGGGCUGCCGGCCAGCACAGGGCUUCGGCAUGGGGACGCCAGCACCAAUUUGGGGAUGGAUGGGGCAGAGAAGACACCAGGACAUCCCCGUCCCACCGCUGCGCAUCGCCCUGCAGGCAGCACGCCGGAGCCUCGCCGGUGAAGAACACAGGGCUGGAAGGAAAAAAAAAAAAAGAAGAAAAGAAAGAAAAAAAAGUCUCCAAACCCAGGAAAUCUGUGUUAAUUGCUUAUGAAUGUCUCUGUCUAAAAAAUUAUCGAAUUGAUGUUGUCGUGCUUUUUUUUGACAGCCUGUCUGUUACAUUUUUUUUUUAAAAUAUUCAUGCACCGAAAUCUAAUUACUAGGCAAAUUUAAUGAUAAUGAAAUGAAGGCACUUUAACAGAAAGCACAGGGCCUUGUUAAUGUUUUCUCAGCCUCUGUCUUGUUCAUAUUUUUAAAAUUAUUUUUUUUUACUACUGCCUUUCUUGCAUAUAAAAAAAAAAAAAAGGAUUGCUGAAAAUAAA